rnacentral:rRNA from 1 species
UACGGGGGGGGCAAGCGUUGUUCGGAAUUACUGGGCGUAAAGGGCUCGUAGGCGGCCAACUAAGUCGGACGUGAAAUCCCCAGGCUCAACCUGGGAACUGCAUCCGAUACUGGAUGGCUUGAAUUCGGGAGAGGGAUGCAGAAUUCCAGGUGUAGCGGUGAAAUGCGUAGAUAUCUGGAGGAACACCCGUGGCGAAAGCGGCUCUCUGGGACGGUACUGACGCUGAGACGCGAAAGCGUGGGGAGCAAACAGG